UCCGGGCUUAAGAGGACGAGCGGAAACGCCUCCAGUUUUCAAAACAAAGAGGAGAAGCGGGAGGCGUGUGAGGCGCGCCGGGCUCAGAUUGGUCCCUCCCGCCCGGUCGCUUCAGCAUCAUUGGGUGACAAUGGAGGGGAGCCCGGGAAUCGGCGGGCGCUCGGGGUCUCCGAAGAUCCCGCCGGCCAUGGAGGAGCUGCAGAGCCGCUUGCAGGAGACCCUGGACCUUCUGUCCUCGCAGGAGCUGCGCAGCUUCCGCGACCACCUCAAGAAGGUGGAGCCGCGCGUGAGCCAGGUGAAGCUGGAGCUGGAGGGCCGCAGCCCGUCGGGGCUGGCCAGGCUCCUCGCCAAGCAGUACUACCCACCGGCCGCCGCCAAGCGCGUCCUCGUCCAGGUGCUGGAGCAGCUGCCCCGCGCUGACCUGCUGCCGCGCUGGCAGAGCGCCGCCGCUGACGGCCCGGUGAUUCCACGAAAGAUUCCAAAGAGAAGCUAUGACUGUGUGGAAGGUGAAUUGGACCGUUAUGACCUGAGUGGCAGGCGGAAGGCCUUCCUCAUGUGUGUGACGAGAGACAGGCUGGGCGCUCACCAAGAUGUCCUACUGAUGGAGGACUGGCUUGGCCAGUGCCAGUUCGAAAAUACGUUGUGCAUCGAUCCCGACAAAAUGGAGUUACUUGGAAAAAUAACAUCAUUUCGAGAUGGACUAAAUGAAAUUAAAGAUGACAUUGGCUGUUGCCUUGUUGCUCUUAUGUCCCACGGAGAAGAAGGCUUUAUCAAAAUGAAAGAUGGUGAAAAAGUCAGCCUGGAAGGCAUUUUUGAAAUGUUUAACAAUAAAAAUUGUCCAGCACUUCAAGAGAAACCAAAAAUCUUUAUAAUCCAGGCCUGCAGAGGAGAGAGAAGAGACAGUGGUGUUGAAACGGAUGAUGAACCCAUGGACUCGGAUGAUGGAUCAGAGAAGAAGAGGCUGCCUACAUUCAGUGAUUAUUUCAUCAUCUAUCCCACCCAGGCAGAUCAUGUGGCUUUACGGGACCCCCGCACCGGCUCUGUGAUGAUCAAAGCAAUGACCGACGUCUUUAAACAGUAUGGAAAUAAGUGGCACAUUGCCGACUUCUUCACCAAAGAUUUCUAGGCACAGAGGCUCGUUUCGGUGGGACAGCAGCAGCUGAAAUAUCAACAACUCUUUAUUUCCUGGGAGAGGUUGAGUGACUUGGUCAGAGUCACAGCAUGUGGUGAAGCUGGGAUUCCAAACCAUGAACUAAUUCAAGACAUGAAGUGCCAAGUGAUAGAGAAAAGUUUUAAGACAGAAUGCUUUUGAUGGACAGAAGGGACCAUACCAUUACCACUUCACUGAUGGAAUGAGGGCUUUGGGACAAAGGAGGGAAAAGUGAUUUUGGAACCCUGUUCAGACCACUACAGGUAAGGGUCAUGGAGAAAACUGUAGGACAACUGCAUACCAGACAAACAGAUGAAGAGGAGCAAGGAAGAAUUCUGGUUAGAAAGGCUUGUGUUCAACACCCCUUCCCAUGUAAGGAAACUGCACCUUAGGUGAAGGACCCGCUCAAGUUCAUAGGUACAAAAGGCUGGGCGAGAGGUCGAAUCCAUACGGGGUAGGGCUGGCUGACUGCCUGGCUGACUUCCGGCCCGCGUCCCUGGUCGCAAACUGCGUGUUCCAACCGGCCCGCCCCUUUCCGCCGUUCGAAAGCGUCCGCGCCAGCGCCGCAGCCCGCCUUCCGGAGGAAGG